UACGGAGGCAGCAGUGGGGAAGUAUUGCACAAUGGGCGCAAGCCUGAUGCAGCCAUGCCGCGUGUAUGAAGAAGGCCUUCGGGUUGUAAAGUACUUUCAGUCGUGAGGAAGGUGUUAAGGUUAAUAACCUUAGCAAUUGACGUUAGCGACAGAAGAAGCACCGGCUAACUCCGUGCCAGCAGCCGCGGUAAUACGGAGGGUGCGAGCGUUAAUCGGAAUUACUGGGCGUAAAGGGCACGCAGGCGGUUAAUUAAGUUGGAUGUGAAAUCCCCGGGCUUAACCUGGGAAUGGCAUUCAAGACUGGUUAGCUAGAGUCUUGUAGGAGGGGGUAGAAUUCCAUGUGUAGCGGUGAAAUGCGUAGAGAUGUGGAGGAAUACCGGUGGCGAAGGGCGGCCCCUGGGACAAAGACUGACGCUCAUGUGCGAAAGCGUGGGGA
rnacentral:rRNA from 1 species